AUUAAGGUCAUUUUCCAGUUUUUAGAUAUGUUUUGACUCUUCGUCUUAUUUGAAAUAUUUUUGCGAUUAAUAAUUUUAUUGUUACUAGAUGGUAAAAUAUAAAUAGUACUUUAUACGUGACUAAUUUUUUUAAGUUUUUAUACAAAUUUUUCAAAUAAGAUGAAUGGUCAAAGCGUUGGACAUAGAAAUCGAAAAAUGAAGUUAUU
rnacentral:pre_miRNA from 1 species